GACGUAGGAGACAAACGUUAUCCGGAGUUACUGGGCGUAAAGGGCGUGUAGGUGGUUUAGUAAGUCUGGCGUGAAAUUUUUCGGCUUAACCGGGAAAGGUCGUCGGAUACUGCAAGACUAGAGGACGGUAGAGGCGUGUGGAAUUCCGGGUGUAGUGGUGAAAUGCGUAGAGAUCCGGAGGAACACCAGUGGCGAAGGCGACACGCUGGGCCGUACCUGACACUGAUGCGCGACAGCAUGGGGAGCAAACAGG
rnacentral:rRNA from 1 species